ensembl:lncRNA
GUUCGUGGAUGACGUCAUCGUGACGCGUUAAUAUCCGCCGUACUUUGCCGGUCUGUUGUCUGUCAGCUGCGUGCGAAUUUCGGGGGGAAAAGUAUCGUGACUUCGUCAAACACCAACAUGUUCGUCUCGUCUCGUUAACGAAAGUUAGAAUAGAUUUAGUCAUAGUUUUUUUUUUUUAAGAUCGUUUUCGUCACGUCUUAGUCUUAGUCAUGGAAAAAAGCUUCGUUAACGAAAAAUUUUCGUCAUAGUUUUCGGCAACGAAAUUAACACUGGUUGACACAUGCAUGCUUUAACCUAAACAAAUCUCAUAAGUGAAACUAUUAAACCAUUUUAUGUUGCUGCUAUUGAUUAUAUAUAUGUUCAUCUGUUUAUAGAUAUAUUCAAAUAAAGAAAUCACCAUGUAAACUUGUUACAUCUAAGAAGGGCUUGAAUCAUUUUUUUGAGAUGGCUGCAUAUUUAUUUUAGUGUAAAAACGUCAGGAGCAGCAAAUCAUGAGUCUCGCCUCGAACAAUUUCUGACUGGAAAAGUGUCCUGUGUCUGCUGUCCCUCAAAGAGUGUCCUGGUCCACCUCACUGACCUGCUAGGCAUAAAACGGUGAAUGUUUCUGACUGAAAAAGCGAUUCCAAUGUUAAAAAGCGCAUGUGUGAUGGUCUAGCUAAAUUAUACUUGCCUAGUUCCCAUGUGUUUUUAUGUUUUGUAUGUGCAACCUGCUGCUAGUGAAGGUUGCCCUUUCCGUUGCUAGGUCAGUUUUCGGACAACCAACAAUUAGUAAUGACGCCACAAGUGACAACAGACACGCAUUGCUUAAUACACUAGAGAGGUGCAGGUGAUUGGAAACAGCUGGAAACAAUCAUGACAUGACAGACUAUCACAGGGAAAGACAGGACACGGCAGGAAGUGACGUGACCCAGGGAGAAUAGAGGCAAGAAACUACAAAAUAAAACCAGACAUGAACCCAAACCGUGACAUUAAUAGGUUAAAUGUAUUUAAUUUGAACUCAAUUAAAUUAAGUUCAAUUAAGUUCAACUAACUUAACUAAAUGUAGUUGAAAGUGAUAAAACCAUUCAUAUCAAUUCAACUCUACUAAACUAUAUUAACCCAACACAAUAACAUAGUGUUAGAGCAACGUAAUUGUUUAGCAUAGAGAGAAACCAAUUUAAUCAUGUGGAAAUCCUUUCCAUGAUUUUUUAAAGUAAAGCCAACGAGUAAUUUUUAAAAAGUAUAAAAAUUAAAAAGUAUAGAAUGUGAUCAAUAGAC